CCUUCAGGUAGAGAAUACCGAGGCGUUCGGGUGAACUAUGGUUAAGGAACUCGGCAAAAUGCCCCCGUAACUUCGGGAGAAGGGGGGCCAUUCUGGGUGAUUGGAUUUUCUCCAUGAGCUUGGGGUGGCCGCAGAGACCAGCGAGAAGCGACUGUUUACUAAAAACACAGGUCCGUGCGAAGCCGUAAGGCGAUGUAUACGGACUGACGCCUGCCCGGUGCUGGAACGUUAAGGGGACCGGUUAGUCGCAUUUCGGUGUGGCGAGGCUGAGAACUUAAGCGCCAGUAAACGGCGGUGGUAACUAUAACCAUCCUAAGGUAGCGAAAUUCCUUGUCGGGUAAGUUCCGACCUGCACGAAUGGCGUAACGACUUCUCGACUGUCUCAACCAUAGGCCCGGUGAAAUUGCACUACGAGUAAAGAUGCUCGUUUCGCGCAGCAGGACGGAAAGACCCCGGGACCUUUACUAUAGUUUGAUAUUGGUGUUCGGUUCGGCUUGUGUAGGAUAGGUGGGAGACUGUGAAGCUUGGACGCCAGUUCAGGUGGAGUCGUCGUUGAAAUACCACUCUGGUCGUGCUGGAUGUCUAACCUGGGUCCGUGAUCCGGAUCAGGGACAGUGUCUGAUGGGUAGUUUAACUGGGGCGGUUGCCUCCUAAAGAGUAACGGAGGCGCCCAAAGGUUCCCUCAGCCUGGUUGGUAAUCAGGUGUUGAGUGUAAGUGCACAAGGGAGCUUGACUGUGAGACCGACGGGUCGAGCAGGGACGAAAGUCGGGACUAGUGAUCCGGCGGUGGCUUGUGGAAGCGCCGUCGCUCAACGGAUAAAAGGUACCCCGGGGAUAACAGGCUGAUCUUCCCCAAGAGUCCAUAUCGACGGGAUGGUUUGGCACCUCGAUGUCGGCUCGUCGCAUCCUGGGGCUGGAGUCGGUCCCAAGGGUUGGGCUGUUCGCCCAUUAAAGCGGUACGCGAGCUGGGUUUAGAACGUCGUGAGACAGUUCGGUCCCUAUCCGCUGUGCGCGUAGGAGUUUUGAGAAGGGCUGUCCCUAGUACGAGAGGACCGGGACGGACGAACCUCUGGUGUGCCAGUUGUCCUGCCAAGGGCAUGGCUGGUUGGCUACGUUCGGGAGGGAUAACCGCUGAAAGCAUCUAAGCGGGAAGCCUGCUUCGAGAUGAGAACUCCCACCUCCUUUGAGGGGUUAAGGCUCCCAGUAGACGACUGGGUUGAUAGGCCAGAGGUGGAAGGCCGGUAACGGUUGGAGCUGACUGGUACUAAUAGGCCGAGGGCUUGUCCUA
rnacentral:rRNA from 1 species